rnacentral:rRNA from 1 species
AUGGAUGGUCUCCUACAAUGGGAUUUCAAUCCUGGCCUUGCGGUUGCCGAUCAGGUACGUCGAUGGUUUGGAGAAACGGUCCGUUUCUCUCCUUCUCGCCCUACCAAGGAGUUCUUCUUAGUGGUAUCUUUCUCUUCGGCCUCCUUCCCUCUCUCUGAAGAUUCGGUGGGCAUGGCCCUUCAAUGUUGCAUUGGA